UUUUGAUGAGCUUUACUUUAAUAUUUAAAUCUAGCAGUGCUUUGUUCCCUCAUCUUGAGUCAUCUGAUCAUUUGAGUCUGAUUUUGAAUGUUUGCAUGGAGUUGAUCAAUAUUUAAUAAAGCAGAUAUUUCCAUGAGCACUCAGUGAGUUUAAUAAGUUCAUGUCAGAUCCUUGUUGUCUUGUUGUGUUCUGUGUACGUUCCUGAGACUUUUCUGAGCAGCACUCUGGACUCUGCGUGUCCACCAUUCAGCUGGAUUAUCAUAUUCAUAUUUCAGAUGAGAACAGAGCUGAUUUCUAUAAAGAUGGCGUCUUCAUCAGGAGCAGCUCCACAGGAAACAUGACCAUCCACAGUGUUUCUCCAUCUGAUGAAGGACUCUACAGAUGUAACUGUGUCUCUGGAGCUGGAGGAUCAGCAGACAGCUGGCUGACUGUCAGAGCGCCUCCUGCAGGCCGUGAUCCUCCACCUCCUCUGCUGUCUGUCUCCGCUCUGCUGCGCCACCUGGUGGCUGGAGCUCCUGACCUGCUGUUCACCAUC